GAGACCACGGAAUUCCAAAUGGUGCUGACCACUCAACGUUUCAUUGUCUAAAUCCAUUCUCCUCGGCGACAGCCAAGAAAUUGCCAGUGAGGAACACAUUCUACCUGACACUAAAGAGGCCCGAGUCAGUGCCAGAUCCUUAAACUGCAAAGUGAGUGCAGGUUGAAAGGGAUGUUUCUGCUCUUGUCAUUAUCACUCACUUGCAAGGGUACACAAGGUACCCUCGUCCAUCUAUACAUACAACUAUAAGCAAAUCAUACAGCUAUAAGCAAAGGGAGGCUAAAAUGGAUACCCUCUGAGCUGCAUUCUAUCGCUAUGUCUAUGGCUUCAGAUGGUUGGUCAUAUUUAUCCACUUUUGGGUUCCUUGGCUUCAGGCAUGGUUGACUCUUGGUCACGGGCUGUUCCGUCUGUUCCUCCAACAGUUAAUUCUCAUUCUCCUUCACCCACCUGCACGGCAAUAGCUUUGCCCCUAACUAUGGAUCAGAAGAGGAUCAUUCAAGCCUGAGAAACCUCCUUGGUCCGAGGGCUGUUGAAAGAUAUUCACAGCCAAGGAUCCCGGACCUAAACAAAUCAGAGUCUCCAUGGCUAUAAUUUGGAGGCUGAGAACUGUCACUUUCACAUUUCUUUGAGCCAGUUGUCCAAGGAAACUCAAAGGGCACUUCUCGGAAAAACGGGAAGUUUCUAUUCCAUCACGAAGUUCUUGCUCAUCACAGGUCUGAAUUUACACCAGGAAAGUUGAGGCAAACCAAGGACAGUCACUUCAUGAACCUUCACCAUCAGGCCCAUCUAUGACACAGAUGACCCGGUGGCAAUGACAAGGUGUCCUCUAACCAACAGGAGGGAACCUCCAGCUCAGGAUGGAGCUGACACCAGCAAGGGGCCUGCCCAACAUGGCUGGGUGGCCCACACCAAGUCCACACACUCGUGGUAGAUUCUGGAGUCAAGGUAAGGAAGAAAGACUUCACCAGGGAACAAUGGCGCCCACAGUGAUGGCGAAGGAAACUCAGACUGAAGUCCUGCACUCCCUCCAAGACAGACUUCCUUAUUCACUCCCCCAGUUGCCAGUCACUCUCACCUGAGGACCAUUCAGAAUUUAUCAGAGAAGGAAACUGAUGGGGACCUCUGGGAGACUGGGCAGGUUAGCCCAUUGGCUUUCUUCCCUCUGGGCUGUGGGGUCUGAGGUUCAGUUUCCAAUGUUGGUUGUCUCAAGUAGAAGCCAAUUCUGCCCCUCCGAGCCCCAGCCUCUUGUGCCCAGAUGCCAUGUGCGGUUCCUUGCCAACCUCUAUAUUCAAGACACGGCUUCGAGGCUCUCUAAACAAGAUGGUCAGGAGUUAAGCAGAGAGAACAUGAAUGAAGGGAGCUAAAGAGGAAAAAGCAAGAAAUUUUAUUUGAGGUGUAAGAAGUCACUAGAUCACAAAUCAUGAUUCCCGCUAAUCUAGUGCAGCUUUGAUUUGCCCGAGAAAGCUCAUUGUUGGCCCUUCCAGUGAGGUCUCCCAGGCUUCUCCAUGGAGACUUUUUUUCCUCUCAGAGUGAGAAGCCAGAAAAGCAUACAAUAGUAGCAGCAUAAACAACUUUUCCAAGAUCAAACCUAGAUUAUAGAUGUCGUUCCUUCCACCUGAAAUCAACUCUUGUCAAUAAGAGGUCCCUCUCAAAUAUUGCAUCUCCAAGAGUCCCCUCCCCAGGGACCAAAAGAAAAAAAAGCCACCUGGCUAGCCAAAAGCAACUGAGUUUUUUAUGGAAUAAAAUUUAAAAACUCGUAUGUGCCACAACUCUCAGAACCUGUACUUCUGGAGGUCAACUCCAAACGCAAAAGAUGACACAAAGCUGGUGACCUUGGAGGUCUGACCAGACUCACAGAAAAGGGAGCCAGAGUUCUUUCAAUGCGGUCAGAAAGCUCUGCAUUUGUAGACUGGAGAUGUUCCCAAGGCUUUCUUCCCUCCCAAACUUAGAGCUAUCCCUCUACAUGGAAUUCCUGAUGAGCCCAUUGGCCUCCUGUUUGAUUGCUUGUCUGAACUGACAUUCUUUUGGUUGAGUGCACCUGGGGUUUGAGCACCCAAGAAACUGGGGUUUCCCAGGAUGAGCAUUAAGGGCAGUGAAGGAGGGGGCAGUUCCAGCCCAGGGAGAACAGCAGUACCAAUUUCACCGAAGUAAAGCACCAGAGUUGUUCUCAGCUCUAUCCCAAGUACCCCCAAGGAGCGGGUUCUCUGUCUUCAGGAAAAAGGCCCAAUGGCCCAGGGAAACCAGCAGACCCCAAAACUCUUCUCACCUAAAUGCCUAACAAGCAUUUGUCUGUAACAUCUCCUUGGGGGCAGAGGCAGAUAGAGAUCUGAUUUCUGGCCUGAUGCUGAUCAACUCAUCCAGACCAAUGAGGUUUUAAGACUAGGAAGUGGGGAAUCAUGAGGGAAGAAGAACUGACUCAGUUAUGCCACCCGCUGGUUCUGAAUCUAAGCCAGAGCUCACAUGGCCUUGUACUCAAGGAGAACCAGAACAUGUUCAGGGGGAAGUUCUAAGACACUACUGAGAAGUCGAGUUGGGUGGCUGAGAUGUGUUUUUGCCAAUUCAAAGCCAGGUCCUGCCUGAACGAGUGCCAGCUUAGAGCGCCACAUCAAAGGUCCGAUUGCCUACUUUUCCCAAUGACUUUUCCAGGUCUGGACCCACCCAGUAGCCACCAGAGGGCUUGACUGGGAUUCGAAAGUCAGGGCCUUGGUGACCAUCCCUUUAGGAUGGACGCUCAUUGUCACUCUGGUGAGGUCACCACCUCACCUGAUCAUAUAGGGCAAUGCUUGGGCUGGAACAAAAGGCCAGACAAAGCUGACAGAGCCUGAUUAAGGCUGGCCAAAUCCCCCUGUCAUCCAAGAAGACGGCAGGAGAAUAACCAUUUUACUCGAUGCCUUCAUCUUGAUAUAAUCCCCAAGAACACAUUAGCGUCUGACCAGGAACUCAGUUUACAGUGGGAAAUCAUGCAAAGCAAUCAUGGCUCACUGGCUGUUGGCACCAAAGCUCUCUCAGGAAGUGAGAGAAACUAUCGAUUCUGGAGAGACCUGGCAGAAUGAGCUUUCACUGCUUGUUAAGAAUUUGUAUUUAAGUGACUAGAUAAUUCUAUACUUACUGCAAUUCUGUGUAAUUUUGUUUAUUGAAAAGGUAUGUGGCCCAGAGCAUUGAACCCAUCCGGCACCCAUGUUCAUUUCCAAGUAUUCCCC
rnacentral:lncRNA from 1 species